rnacentral:rRNA from 1 species
CCGUUGCCGGCGACCGGCGCACGGGUGAGUAACACGUAUGCAACCUGCCCGUGGCAGGGGGAUAAGCGGGGGAAACCCCGUCUAAUACCGCGUAACGCGGCCUUGGGGCAUCCCAAGGCCGCCAAAGGGAGCAAUCCCGGCCACGGAUGGGCAUGCGGCGCAUUAGCUAGUCGGCGGGGUAACGGCCCACCGAGGCGACGAUGCGUAGGGGUUCUGAGAGGAAGGCCCCCCACACUGGUACUGGGACACGGACCAGACUCCUACGGAAGGCAGCAG